GGGUUGUGAGGUUAAGCGACUAAGCGUACACGGUGGAUGCCCUGGCAGUCAGAGGCGAUGAAGGACGUGCUAAUCUGCGAUAAGCGUCGGUAAGGUGAUAUGAACCGUUAUAACCGGCGAUUUCCGAAUGGGGAAACCCAGUGUGUUUCGACACACUAUCAUUAACUGAAUCCAUAGGUUAAUGAGGCGAACCGGGGGAACUGAAACAUCUAAGUACCCCGAGGAAAAGAAAUCAACCGAGAUUCCCCCAGUAGCGGCGAGCGAACGGGGAGCAGCCCAGAGCCUGAAUCAGUGUGUGUGUUAGUGGAAGCGUCUGGAAAGGCGCGCGAUACAGGGUGACAGCCCCGUACACAAAAAUGCACAUGCUGUGAGCUCGAUGAGUAGGGCGGGACACGUGGUAUCCUGUCUGAAUAUGGGGGGACCAUCCUCCAAGGCUAAAUACUCCUGACUGACCGAUAGUGAACCAGUACCGUGAGGGAAAGGCGAAAAGAACCCCGGCGAGGGGAGUGAAAAAGAACCUGAAACCGUGUACGUACAAGCAGUGGGAGCACGCUUAGGCGUGUGACUGCGUACCUUUUGUAUAAUGGGUCAGCGACUUAUAUUCUGUAGCAAGGUUAACCGAAUAGGGGAGCCGAAGGGAAACCGAGUCUUAACUGGGCGUUAAGUUGCAGGGUAUAGACCCGAAACCCGGUGAUCUAGCCAUGGGCAGGUUGAAGGUUGGGUAACACUAACUGGAGGACCGAACCGACUAAUGUUGAAAAAUUAGCGGAUGACUUGUGGCUGGGGGUGAAAGGCCAAUCAAACCGGGAGAUAGCUGGUUCUCCCCGAAAGCUAUUUAGGUAGCGCCUCGUGAAUUCAUCUCCGGGGGUAGAGCACUGUUUCGGCAAGGGGGUCAUCCCGACUUACCAACCCGAUGCAAACUGCGAAUACCGGAGAAUGUUAUCACGGGAGACACACGGCGGGUGCUAACGUCCGUCGUGAAGAGGGAAACAACCCAGACCGCCAGCUAAGGUCCCAAAGUCAUGGUUAAGUGGGAAACGAUGUGGGAAGGCCCAGACAGCCAGGAUGUUGGCUUAGAAGCAGCCAUCAUUUAAAGAAAGCGUAAUAGCUCACUGGUCGAGUCGGCCUGCGCGGAAGAUGUAACGGGGCUAAACCAUGCACCGAAGCUGCGGCAGCGACACUAUGUGUUGUUGGGUAGGGGAGCGUUCUGUAAGCCUGUGAAGGUGUGCUGUGAGGCAUGCUGGAGGUAUCAGAAGUGCGAAUGCUGACAUAAGUAACGAUAAAGCGGGUGAAAAGCCCGCUCGCCGGAAGACCAAGGGUUCCUGUCCAACGUUAAUCGGGGCAGGGUGAGUCGACCCCUAAGGCGAGGCCGAAAGGCGUAGUCGAUGGGAAACAGGUUAAUAUUCCUGUACUUGGUGUUACUGCGAAGGGGGGACGGAGAAGGCUAUGUUGGCCGGGCGACGGUUGUCCCGGUUUAAGCGUGUAGGCUGGUUUUCCAGGCAAAUCCGGAAAAUCAAGGCUGAGGCGUGAUGACGAGGCACUACGGUGCUGAAGCAACAAAUGCCCUGCUUCCAGGAAAAGCCUCUAAGCAUCAGGUAACAUCAAAUCGUACCCCAAACCGACACAGGUGGUCAGGUAGAGAAUACCAAGGCGCUUGAGAGAACUCGGGUGAAGGAACUAGGCAAAAUGGUGCCGUAACUUCGGGAGAAGGCACGCUGAUAUGUAGGUGAAGUCCCUCGCGGAUGGAGCUGAAAUCAGUCGAAGAUACCAGCUGGCUGCAACUGUUUAUUAAAAACACAGCACUGUGCAAACACGAAAGUGGACGUAUACGGUGUGACGCCUGCCCGGUGCCGGAAGGUUAAUUGAUGGGGUUAGCCGCAAGGCGAAGCUCUUGAUCGAAGCCCCGGUAAACGGCGGCCGUAACUAUAACGGUCCUAAGGUAGCGAAAUUCCUUGUCGGGUAAGUUCCGACCUGCACGAAUGGCGUAAUGAUGGCCAGGCUGUCUCCACCCGAGACUCAGUGAAAUUGAACUCGCUGUGAAGAUGCAGUGUACCCGCGGCAAGACGGAAAGACCCCGUGAACCUUUACUAUAGCUUGACACUGAACAUUGAGCCUUGAUGUGUAGGAUAGGUGGGAGGCUUUGAAGUGUGGACGCCAGUCUGCAUGGAGCCGACCUUGAAAUACCACCCUUUAAUGUUUGAUGUUCUAACGUUGACCCGUAAUCCGGGUUGCGGACAGUGUCUGGUGGGUAGUUUGACUGGGGCGGUCUCCUCCUAAAGAGUAACGGAGGAGCACGAAGGUUGGCUAAUCCUGGUCGGACAUCAGGAGGUUAGUGCAAUGGCAUAAGCCAGCUUGACUGCGAGCGUGACGGCGCGAGCAGGUGCGAAAGCAGGUCAUAGUGAUCCGGUGGUUCUGAAUGGAAGGGCCAUCGCUCAACGGAUAAAAGGUACUCCGGGGAUAACAGGCUGAUACCGCCCAAGAGUUCAUAUCGACGGCGGUGUUUGGCACCUCGAUGUCGGCUCAUCACAUCCUGGGGCUGAAGUAGGUCCCAAGGGUAUGGCUGUUCGCCAUUUAAAGUGGUACGCGAGCUGGGUUUAGAACGUCGUGAGACAGUUCGGUCCCUAUCUGCCGUGGGCGCUGGAGAACUGAGGGGGGCUGCUCCUAGUACGAGAGGACCGGAGUGGACGCAUCACUGGUGUUCGGGUUGUCAUGCCAAUGGCACUGCCCGGUAGCUAAAUGCGGAAGAGAUAAGUGCUGAAAGCAUCUAAGCACGAAACUUGCCCCGAGAUGAGUUCUCCCUGACUCCCUGAGAGUCCUGAAGGAACGUUGAAGACGACGACGUUGAUAGGCCGGGUGUGUAAGCGCAGCGAUGCGUUGAGCUAACCGGUACUAAUGAACCGUGAGGCUUAACCUUACAACGCCGAAG
rnacentral:rRNA from 1 species